rnacentral:rRNA from 1 species
CCUUUGUACACACCGCCCGUCGCUACUACCGAUUGAAUGGCUUAGUGAGGUCUCCGGAUCGGCUUCGGGGAGUCGGCAACGACACCCUGUUGCUGAGAAGCUGAUCAAACUUGGUCAUUUAGAGG